rnacentral:RNase_MRP_RNA from 1 species
GAAGCGUUUCUUUCGGAGCAAUACAGACGGAGUGCACGAUGAAGGCAUCGGGGCGACUCAAGGAAUAGGCUCAUUUGAAGAUCAGCUCGCUCCGUUUUGAGAGCGGCUGGAUGCUCUGGGGAAAGUCCCCGGGUCAUUGGUAGAGAGUACCACGCCUCGAGUGAAGGCGGGACCCCCCUAUAAAAGUGUCCUGUGCAGUCACGAAGAGAGGAGUCGAACGGAUGGAGCGAUGGCUACGAAAGUAGGACAGAGCUUCCAGAGGGGAGAUGACUGGAGUGCUUGUCGCAGGCGCUAGGGGCUGCUGGCCAUAGAGCGUACGCUGAACAGUUAUGAAACGGAGGCUGGUAUGCCGAAGCCUGUCGUGACGACAUACCAGCCGAAACAGAAUGGGGCUUACUC